rfam:TPA: Bos taurus chromosome 5, whole genome shotgun sequence.
UCCCUGGUGGUCCAGUGGCUAAGACUCCAUGCUCCCAGUGCAGGGGACCCAGGUUCGAUCCCUGGUCAGGGAA